AUACGUAGGGUGCAAGCGUUAAUCGGAAUUACUGGGCGUAAAGCGUGCGCAGGCGGUUUUGUAAGACAGUGGUGAAAUCCCCGGGCUCAACCUGGGAACUGCCAUUGUGACUGCAAGGCUGGAGUGCGGCAGAGGGGGAUGGAAUUCCGCGUGUAGCAGUGAAAUGCGUAGAUAUGCGGAGGAACACCGAUGGCGAAGGCAAUCCCCUGGGCCUGCACUGACGCUCAUGCACGAAAGCGUGGGGAGCAAACAGGAUUAGAUACCCUGGUAGUCCACGCCCUAAACGAUGUCAACUGGUUGUUGGGGAUUUAUUUUCUCAGUAACGAAGCUAACGCGUGAAGUUGACCGCCUGGGGAGUACGGCCGCAAGGUUAAAACUCAAAUGAAUUGACGGG
rnacentral:rRNA from 1 species